GCUUUUUGCUCGCGUUAUGUU
rnacentral:miRNA from 1 species